GUUUCUAAGGGUUCAAGCAAAAAUGCAAUUCUCGGCCGUGCCUGAUCCUGAUGAUCGCCGAUCUUUGAGCGAUUCAAUCGCCGAAGGUUUUGGUAGCGAUGAAGACGAAGAUGUUGAAUACGAGGAGAUAGAGGUGGAAGUUGAGGAGGACGAGGAGGAGGAGGAGGAGGUCGAAGAGGAGAUGGAGGUUGAAGAGGAUAUGGAGAUUGAAGAGGAGGAGGAGGUUGAAGAAGAGGAGGAGGAGGAGGUGGAAGAAGAGGAGGAGGAAGAAAUCGAUGAAGAACUGUCAGAUUCACCAAUCGAUCUUAAAGAUGACCAGUUCACGAGGCAUGAAGAAAACUUGAGACCAGAUUCUGUUAAUGCUGAAAUUGCUACAGAAACUGCACCAGUAGCAUACCUUGAACAUGAAAGUUUAAUUGCGAAGCCCGAGACUUCUAGUGUUGAUGAAAUAAGACAAAAGGAGGACCCAUCUGUGAUCAAUAUAAACGGAUGUUCAAAUAUGAAGCAACAUCUUGCUUUUCAAGGAAGUGGACUUCAAACUUUUGCUGGUGAGAACAAGAACUCUGAAGCCAUGCAAGAAAGGGAGGAAUCUAGAGAUGAUACUGUGGAUGAAGGUGUUCAAACUUCUUUAUAUGGGUGUCGUCAGAAUAUGGUUGCCAAUGCCAUUGAUCCCCUUCCCUCUUCUGUUGGAGUAGUGAAUUCUGCGAUCUUUAGGAAUGAAGGUCUUUUUAAAGAGUCUUAUGCCGUUAUGGGCCUUAGUGCAAAAGUCCAGCCAAUGAGUACACACUCAGGAUUGCAAGUUUGCGAGAUAAGGCCUCGAAGUUCAUCACCAGCAGCUGAGUUUAAGGAUGGAAACAAAAGAUCAACUCUACCAUGUGACUUCUUUGCUCUGGGUUGGUGCAUUAAAGGGAGAUUAUGUGCAUUCCGGCAUGUAGAAGAUCAUCCAUAUGCGAUUGAGCAGAAGUCUAAGGGAACUGUUGAGUCCAAUAUGGAUAAAAAAGAAUUGCAGGCUAUUGCUAAUGGAGAUACAAGAGAUGGUUUUGGAAGAUCAGGAUCUUCUGAGUUUUCUAAUGCAGCAGUUCCUCCUGUUGCCCAUGGUUCAUUUAUUUUGGAAAGAAUCCCAUCUAUUGAGCAUGGAGGAAGCACAACACAACACCAAUUUAGUGAAAAUACAUUGUCCUUCCAAAGACAAGAUUCAACUCUUAUGAAAGAUACGACUGGAUUUGUACCAUCAGAUGCAUCUAGAAGCAUGGGGCCUAACUUUCAUAGGAUGAGUACUGUAACACAGUCUGAUUUCCAUUUUAAUCCAUCGGAGUUGAAGGAAUAUAAAAGUACAGUCAACAAUAUUGAUAGCUUUAAAUUGGAAGUACCUCCUUAUAAUUGGGAACCAUCAGUCCCUUUUCAACCAACAUUUUCCAUCACCAGAAGUUUGUUGAGGGGAAGUCUCUAUGAUCCCAUUUGUGACCACGUUGAAAAACAAAUGCUUUCAGGAACUUCUUACAGGCCGGAGAUAACAAUCUCAAAUUCACAUGAGAAUAGAGAUGUUGAUAAUCGAUUUCCAAAUACAGUUGACCCUCAGUCUGGCUCUGAGAGAAAUAUUUCCUCUAAACAUCAUAGUUUCAGUAACAAUCUGUCAAACAAAAACAUCGAUGGGCGGGAGUUGUUCUUGAAUGAAAAAGAGGACACUAGCAGUUCCCAUGCUGGGCCACAAAAAGUUUCUUUUGUUAAAGAUGAGAAAACUUCUGGCAUAUCUAUUAAGGACAAAGGAGGAGACAUGACAUCGAAAGAUGAUACCAAAAGACCUAUUAUUGAAAUGGCCGUUGGUGAGAGGAAAAAUAAUGAUCAGGAGUUAAAAAUCCAGAAAUAUUUCCGAGAAGCACUUGUAGAAUUUACGAAGGAACUGGUUAAGCCAACCUGGCGUGAAGGUCGUCUAACGAAGACUGUUCACAAAGUAAUAGUAAAAUGUACAGUUGAAAAGUUCCUUAGCACAAUAAAAAAAAUUGAAUUUCCUAGAACAGAGGACUCAGUUAAACAAUAUCUUUCUGCACGCCAACCGACAUUGUCAAAGCUUGUUGCGGGAUACAUUAUCAAAUAUGGAAAUUCUUGAGUUCUUGCUCCCUCCUGUACGAUUUUAUAUAAGGCUCCGGGAAGCAGAUAUGGAAGUCAUUAACUAAUCAUGAAGUGGCCUGAAGAAUCAACAUUCUCAGGGUGCAAACUCAGUUUCUGUAGCACAUUUAUCAGGUCAUAAGAAAAUUCAAAAGAGGAAAAAGAGACACAGGAGAAUCUUGCAAGCUCUUCAAGGAUAAGUUGGAAAAUAUGGCUAGAAAUUAAUACUAUCUUGGAGCCAGAACAUUUGGAAUUUUGGAUUGAUUUGAGGUCAAUAUUACAUUUGCUAAUUGGUCUUGGGAGUGUACAAAAAUUGCAAAUAUAUACAUCUAACCUGGGGCACAAUUUUGAGGUACGUCAUUUUUACAUGACUUUUUUUAGUGUUUGUGCGGAUGGACGCUCCAAAGUAGUUAAUAUGUGUUUACAAUGAUGAAUGAGAAGGCAUUAUACGGGACCUAGUGGAAAAAAAAUGAAGCAAAAGUAACAGAUUUCUGAAA